ensembl:lncRNA
CUAUGUUUGACCCUGCAGUGCAGUUGUGCUCCGUAGUGAAUGAACCACAGUCAGCAGCAGUUCAGAAUACCAGUGUUGACGAGCUGAGCAAAGAUGGACUCUGAAUAUCUGAAGAAACAUCUGGGAAGUUUUCUGGCGGAGGGACUCGCCGAGGUGGCGGAAAAGCAGCCUGCCGACCCCAUCCUGUUCCUGGCCCACUGGCUCUAUAAGUGCAACGCAAACGCAGAGUAUGAAAAGGAGAAACAGGCCAACCUGGCUCUGCUGGCGGAGGAGCAGGCCAGACGCAGCGCAGAGGAAGCCGACCUGAAGAGGCUGCAGGAGGAGGAAAGGAGGAGCAGAGAGGCCCUGGAGGAGGCCGAGCCGCUGCGUCCUGAGCAGUUUGAGGAGGGUGAGAAGAAGGAUGUGGAGUCGCCUCCGGCUGCACGGUGAAUAGGAGGAGCAGCUUCUGCUGAUCGCAGAUUCUGCAGGUUCAGGUGGCUCUCCACACCUUUCUGUGCCCUCUUAACUGAGGGCAAGAUGACGAGGCCCUACUUUGAGGUCACCAGUUUGUUAGACAUCCAACACAAGGUCUCUCUGAGCUCCGCAGCCGUUGCUAUGAUGGACAGCUAGUCUGAUGCUCCACAACAUGCUUCUCUCCAAUGUCCUGCUGCCACUUUCUGUUCUUCAUGUUUACCCAGUUCCUGGUACCACCUCUAUGUCUGCAUGUUUAAAAUAAUAAUAAAAUAUCUCUUUUGAAAAAACAUGCCACAUUAUAUGUGAAACACAUCACAUGAAGAGAAAAAUGAAUAAUGAGAACAACACUGUUUAUCGGCUGUA